UACGUAGGGUGCAAGCGUUGUCCGGAAUUAUUGGGCGUAAAGAGCUCGUAGGCGGUCUGUCGCGUCGGCUGUGAAAACUCGGGGCUCAACUCCGAGCUUGCAGUCGAUACGGGCAGGCUAGAGUGCGGCAGGGGAGACUGGAAUUCCUGGUGUAGCGGUGAAAUGCGCAGAUAUCAGGAGGAACACCGGUGGCGAAGGCGGGUCUCUGGGCCGUAACUGACGCUGAGGAGCGAAAGCGUGGGGAGCGAACAGG
rnacentral:rRNA from 1 species